rnacentral:lncRNA from 12 species
AUGUACAAUCUAAAUAUUAGUCAUUUUAGGCAAGAUUUUUUUUUUCUAGGUUUCCUAAAUGCUGGUCACAAAAAAAGACUGAUACCCAAGACAUACUUGAUGGAAGUAGAUUUUGAAGGCUAUGAUUUGACCACUUGCAUGAAUAUCUACAUGACAAUGCAUUAUAUGAUGGGUGCUACCCAAAGAUACGUUUAAGGGACCAGCAGAGGGAACAUGCAGCCAUCAGAAUUGCCUUUUGUUUCUUCCAUCAGGUCUGAAGAUGUGCCUCCUUCCAAACCGUGAGCUAGACACAGUGGAUGUGGGUGUAAGUUUCCAAAUCUGCAGUUCAUUAGGCCCCUCCUUUGGUACAAUAUUAUUUUUAAAAAUCCCUGAUGGUUUGUUGUGAAGGAAAAGAAUUCCCCUAUGUGACACAUAUUGGGUACAUGUGCAGAAUAAACUGAGAUUUUAGCAUCCCUUGACA